rnacentral:rRNA from 1 species
AACGAACGCUGGCGGCAUGCCUAACACAUGCAAGUCGAACGGGAUCCUAGCUUGCUAGGUGAGAGUGGCGGACGGGUGAGUAACACGUGGGAAUCUGCCUUUUGGUUCGGGAUAACCGCGGGAAACUGCGGCUAAUACCGAAUGCCCUCGAGAGAGGAAAGAUUUAUCGCCAGAAGAGGAGCCCGCGUCCGAUUAGGUAGUUGGUGGGGUAAAGGCCUACCAAGCCGACGAUCGGUAGCUGGUCUGAGAGGAUGAUCAGCCACACUGGGACUGAGAUACGGCCCAGACUCCUACGGGAGGCAGCAGUGGGAAUAAUUGGAACAAUGGGGGCAACCCUGAUCCAGCAAUGCCGCGUGAGUGAUGAAGGCCUUA